CACGCCCUAAACGAUGUUCUCUCGCUAUAAUGAGUAUCGACCCUCAUUGUGGCUUAGCUAACGCGGUAAGAGAACCGCCUGGGAAGUACGAUCGCAAGAUUAAAACUCAAAGGAAUAGACGGGGACCUGCACAAGCAGUGGAUUAUGUGGUUUAAUUCGAUGGUAAACGAAGAACCUCACCAGGAUUUGAAACCCACGUGAAAGCUUUAAGAAAUUUUAGCCCUCGCAAGACUCGUGGACAGGUGA
rnacentral:rRNA from 1 species